rnacentral:misc_RNA from 1 species
AACGGUCUAUACCUGCGGUACCUGCGGAAGGAUCAUUACCGAGUGAGGGCCCUCUGGGUCCAACCUCCCACCCGUGUUUAUCGUACCUUGUUGCUUCGGCGGGCCCGCCUCACGGCCGCCGGGGGGCACCUGCCCCCGGGCCCGCGCCUGCCGAAGACAUCAUUGAACUCUGUCUGAAGAUUGCAGUCUGAGUAGAUUAGCUAAAUCAGUUAAAACUUUCAACAACGGAUCUCUAGAUCG